rnacentral:rRNA from 1 species
UACGGAGGGUGCGAGCGUUAAUCGGAAUAACUGGGCGUAAAGGGCACGCAGGCGGACAGGUCAGUGAGAUGUGAAAUCCCCGAGCUUAACUUGGGAACUGCAUUUCAUACUGCUUGUCUAGAGUUUUGUAGAGAGGGGUAGAAUUCCAUGUGUAGCGGUGAAAUGCGUAGAGAUGUGGAGGAAUACCGGUGGCGAAGGCGGCCCCUUGGACAAAAACUGACGCUCAUGUGCGAAAGCGUGGGGAGCAAACAGG